rnacentral:rRNA from 1 species
GGAGGAGCCCAGAGCCUGAAUCAGUGUGUGUGUUAGUGGAAGCGUCUGGAAAGGCGUGCGAUACAGGGUGACAGCCCCGUACACAAAAAUGCACAUAUUGUGAGCUCGAUGAGUAGGGCGGGACACGUGGUAUCCUGUCUGAAUAUGGGGGGACCAUCCUCCAAGGCUAAAUACUCCUGACUGACCGAUAGUGAACCAGUACCGUGAGGGAAAGGCGAAAAGAACCCCGGCGAGGGGAGUGAAAAAGAACCUGAAACCGUGUACGUACAAGCAGUGGGAGCCUCUUAAUGGGGUGACUGCGUACCUUUUGUAUAAUGGGUCAGCGACUUAUAUUCUGUAGCAAGGUUAACCGAAUAGGGGAGCCGAAGGGAAACCGAGUCUUAACUGGGCGUUAAGUUGCAGGGUAUAGACCCGAAACCCGGUGAUCUAGCCAUGGGCAGGUUGAAGGUUGGGUAACACUAACUGGAGGACCGAACCGACUAAUGUUGAAAAAUUAGCGGAUGACUUGUGGCUGGGGGUGAAAGGCCAAUCAAACCGGGAGAUAGCUGGUUCUCCCCGAAAGCUAUUUAGGUAGCGCCUCGUGAAUUCAUCUCCGGGGGUAGAGCACUGUUUCGGCAAGGGGGUCAUCCCGACUUACCAACCCGAUGCAAACUGCGAAUACCGGAGAAUGUUAUCACGGGAGACACACGGCGGGUGCUAACGUCCGUCGUGAAGAGGGAAACAACCCAGACCGCCAGCUAAGGUCCCAAAGUCAUGGUUAAGUGGGAAACGAUGUGGGAAGGCCCAGACAGCCAGGAUGUUGGCUUAGAAGCAGCCAUCAUUUAAAGAAAGCGUAAUAGCUCACUGGUCGAGUCGGCCUGCGCGGAAGAUGUAACGGGGCUAAACCAUGCACCGAAGCUGCGGCAGCGACACUAUGUGUUGUUGGGUAGGGGAGCGUUCUGUAAGCCUGUGAAGGUGGCCUGUGAGGGUUGCUGGAGGUAUCAGAAGUGCGAAUGCUGACAUAAGUAACGAUAAAGCGGGUGAAAAGCCCGCUCGCCGGAAGACCAAGGGUUCCUGUCCAACGUUAAUCGGGGCAGGGUGAGUCGACCCCUAAGGCGAGGCCGAAAGGCGUAGUCGAUGGGAAACAGGUUAAUAUUCCUGUACUUGGUGUUACUGCGAAGGGGGGACGGAGAAGGCUAUGUUGGCCGGGCGACGGUUGUCCCGGUUUAAGCGUGUAGGCUGGUUUUCCAGGCAAAUCCGGAAAACCAAGGCUGAGGCGUGAUGACGAGGCACUACGGUGCUGAAGCGACAAAUGCCCUGCUUCCAGGAAAAGCCUCUAAGCAUCAGGUAACAUCAAAUCGUACCCCAAACCGACACAGGUGGUCAGGUAGAGAAUACCAAGGCGCUUGAGAGAACUCGGGUGAAGGAACUAGGCAAAAUGGUGCCGUAACUUCGGGAGAAGGCACGCUGAUAUGUAGGUGAAGCGACUUGCUCGUGGAGCUGAAAUCAGUCGAAGAUACCAGCUGGCUGCAACUGUUUAUUAAAAACACAGCACUGUGCAAACACGAAAGUGGACGUAUACGGUGUGACGCCUGCCCGGUGCCGGAAG